CCUACGGGAGGCUGCAGUGGGGAAUAUUGGACAAUGGGCGAAAGCCUGAUCCAGCCAUGCCGCGUGUGUGAAGAAGGCCUUCGGGUUGUAAAGCACUUUCAGUGGGGAAGAAAGCCUUGGGGCUAAUACCCUCGAGGAAGGACAUCACCCACAGAAGAAGCACCGGCUAACUCCGUGCACAGCAGCCGCGGUAAUACGGAGGGUGCGAGCGUUAAUCGGAAUUACUGGGCGUAAAGCGCGCGUAGGCGGUCUGAUAAGCCGGUUGUGAAAGCCCCGGGCUCAACCUGGGAACGGCAUCCGGAACUGUCAGGCUAGAGUGCAGGAGAGGAAGGUAGAAUUCCCGGUGUAGCGGUGAAAUGCGUAGAGAUCGGGAGGAAUACCAGUGGCGAAGGCGGCCUUCUGGACUGACACUGACGCUGAGGUGCGAAAGCGUGGGUAGCAAACAGGAUUAGAUACCCUUGUAGUC
rnacentral:rRNA from 1 species